GAGUUUGAUCAUGGCUCAGAACGAACGCUGGCGGCAGGCCUAACACAGCAAGUCGAGCGCACCUUCGGGUGAGCGGCGGACGGGUGAGUAACGCGUGGGAAUAUGCCCUUCUCUGCGGAAUAGCCUCUGGAAACGGAGAGUAAUACCGCAUACGCCCUUCGGGGGAAAGAUUUAUCGGAGAAGGAUUAGCCCGCGUUGGAUUAGGUAGUUGGUGGGGUAAUGGCCUACCAAGCCGACGAUCCAUAGCUGGUUUGAGAGGAUGAUCAGCCACACUGGGACUGAGACACGGCCCAGACUCCUACGGGAGGCAGCAGUGGGGAAUCUUAGACAAUGGGGGAAACCCUGAUCUAGCCAUGCCGCGUGAGUGACGAAGGUCUUAGGAUCGUAAAGCUCUUUCGCCAGGGAAGAUAAUGACUGUACCUGGUAAAGAAACCCCGGCUAACUCCGUGCCAGCAGCCGCGGUAAUAC
rnacentral:rRNA from 1 species